AAUAAUAGCUGUCAGAUCCGAAAUGUGGAUUGAGUCGUCCAUCUGAAAAAAGGUAGGGUUCCUUUCUUCUUCUUUCAUUCUUGCAACCACUCGUGGGGGGUUCUCUCCAUGGAACCCGAAGGACUAUUCGACCGGAGAGAGAGCAUGUGAGGAGUCGCCGAUCGGUGAGAGGGCAAAUCCAAGGGUGGUGAAUGUUGGUGAGGAGUUGCUGAUCGGUGAAAACCCAUAUUCGAGGGCAACGAAGGCGACUCCAUCUCCGAUUCGUCCAUGCCCAACCGCUGCCAUCCUCUGGCACUCCUCUUGGACCGCCAAUUGGUAGAUCCGCCUGAGCGGUGGCGGUGACUCCAUUGCAAGUAUUUGCGACCUGAAAUUUCAGACGCGGCUUGGGUGAGCGAGAAGAUCUUAGCCCAGUCAAGUUUUCCGUACAUCUUGCAGAUGUUAUCCCAUAUCGUUUUCGAAUCUUAGUUGGUGGAAGUUCGAUGGCCACCUCGAGAGCCAAGAAUUACUGAUCCACGUUCACACAAGCUGGUUGCAUCUGCACCAAUGUCGUUGCAAGCGCUCGUCAGACGGGAAGGCCACAGUUCUGUUGAUGAACUCGUCUUUGUCGUUUGUCACCAACGCUCGCCAUAGAUCUUGAGCCCACGUAUUAUAAUUUUCUGGUCCGAUGAGCUGUAAGGAGAUGAGCCGUAGCUCGGGGCUGUCGUCCAGCGAUGUGUAAAGUGGGUCGCUAGGCUUGGGUCGGUCGCUGAUAACUGGAACGACAAAGGGCAGAAACCUGGGUCCCAUGUUCAAGUAGGGAUUUGCUCCCUGAUCCGACGAAUAGGAUUCAGGUCCUGGGCCUGAGCCCACCUGGCCUAUCCUAGCAUUAUGAGGAAUCUAACCUCCUUCAGUGGGCUGGGCUCCAGAACUCGAAAACCUUCUUCAGAUGUGCCGUAUGAAGCCCCUGGCUGAUUUGGCCCAAUUCCCAAUGGGCCCUAAAAAGGGAAUCACGGGACUGGUGGCCAUUGGGCUAGGCCGGAAACGUUUGCUGGAGCAAGAACUGGAUUAGCAGUGUUUUGGGUCGUGGAAUGCGCCUCUUCAGUUGAGUCAACCAAGGCUGAAUUCUGCUUUGAGGUGAAUCUGGGGUUUCUUCUACUGGAGUGUUUCCUUCGGUGUUCUUGGCAAUGAUAUGUCUAAUGGUGAAUUUCUACUAUUGGCUUAUUUGUUUUGCAGGAUUUGAUUUGCAAAAGCAAAACAGAAAGAGGACAGAGGCAAUUCGUAGAAUUGCGGAAGCUAGGUUGGAGAGGGUGGCUCUGAUACCAUGUCAGAGUUGGAAAAAUAGGCCAAGAAUAAGAGAAUACUUGUAAUUUCUUACGUAUUCUUCUGUGUUCAUUUACAUUGUAUAAGUCCCUAUUUAUAAUACAUUGAAUAUCUAAUUAAUGAAAAGAAAGAGAAUAUACAUCAAA